rnacentral:rRNA from 1 species
GAUGAACGCUAGCGGGAGGCCUAACACAUGCAAGCCGAGCGGUAGAGUUUCUUCGGAAACUUGAGAGCGGCGCACGGGUGUGUAACACGUGUGCAACCUACCUUUAUCUGGGGGAUAGCCUUUCGAAAGGAAGAUUAAUACCCCAUAAUAUAAUGAUUGGCAUCAAUUAUUAUUGAAAACUCCGGUGGAUAGAGAUGGACACGCGCAAGAUUAGAUAGUUGGUGAGGUAACGGCUCACCAAGUCAAUGAUCUUUAGGGGUCCUGAGAGGGAGAUCCCCCACACUGGUACUGAGACACGGACCAGACUCCUACGGGAGGCAGCAGUGAGGAAUAUUGGACAAUGGGUGAGAGCCUGAUCCAGCCAUCCCGCGUGAAGGAUGACGGUCCUAUGGAUUGUAAACUUCUUUUGUACAGGGAUAAACCUACCCUCGUGAGGGUAGCUGAAGGUACUGUACGAAUAAGCACCGGCUAACUCCGUG